rnacentral:lncRNA from 1 species
GAUAAUGAAUCCAACCCCAAAUUGUUUGGAUAAUUUUUUCCUGCCUUAUAAAAAAUCUGAGUGCAGGGAGAGGAGAAUGGGAAAAAAACAGGUGUCAGGGAUAAAUCCAUGGCUUUGGGGGCUCCAAAUUAUUAAAUUCCAGAGGCAGAUUGUCCUGGGGAGAGCAGGAAUAGGUUUUGAAGGAUUUUUGGGAGCCCCAAAUUAAAUUCCAGAGUCAGAUUGUCCUUGGAUCUGUCCCUGGGUGAGCAGGAAUUUUUAGGAUAUUCCUAAAUUCCAGAAGCAGAUCGUCCUUGGGGAGAGCAGCAAUAUCUUGAAGGUUUUCUUUGGGAAGUCCAAAUUAUUAAAUUCCAGAUUUUCCUUGGAAGAUCAGGAAUAUCUCGAAGGAUUUUUGGGAGCCCCAUCCUGAACUCCUGGGCCCACCUGGGCUGUGCCAAAGGCUUUAAAUCCUGGUGGGAAUUGGGUGGGGAGCACUCUCAGGGGAUCCCACAUUUCAGUGUAAUUAAUUAAUGAAUAAUUUAAUUAUUAAAGUGCAGCAAACACUGCCUCAAACAUUCCUGGAGCUCUUGGGGCCGUGCCCAUUCCCUGGUUCAGUGCCCAGCACCUCUGGGGGAAGAACCUGGGUCUGAUGCCCACCUAAAACUGGUUCUGAUAUUAAACCUGGUUCUGAUACUAAACCUGGUUCUGAUAUUAAACUUGGUUCUGAUCCCCCCUAAACCUGGUUCUGGUGCCCACCUAAACCUGGUUCUGAUCCCACCUAAGUCUGGUUCUGAUAUUGAGCCUGGUUGUGAUCCCACCUAAACCUGGUUCUGAUACUAAACCUGGUUUUGAUUCCCCCUUAACCUGGUUCUAAUACUAAACUUGGUUCUGAUGGCCACCUAAACUGGAUUGUAAUGCCCCUCCUAAAUCUGGUUCUGAUAUUGAACCUGGUUCUGAUCCCACCUAAACCUGGUUCUGAUGCCCACCUAAACCUGCCCCUGAACUGGGGACACUGGGCUGAACUGGGAAUGCUGGACUGGGGGCACUGGGCUGAACUGGGAGCACUGGGAUGGGCUGGAGACACUGGGCUAAACUGGGAAUGCUGGACUGGGGGUACUGGGAUGGACUGGGCUGAACUGGGGGCACUGGGAAUGCUGGACUGGGUGUACUGGGCUGAACUGGAAACGCUGGACUGGGAGCACUGGGAUGGGCUGGGNGGCCGUGGUGGGGUUGUGUGGGCUCAGCUCCUCUGUGCUCUCCAUCAUCACCAUCCUGCACCCCUGGCUCAAGCUGAAACCAUAGUUUUCUGGGGAUUUUUGGGGGGUUUUGGCACCUCUGGAAGUGACUGGUUGGUGCCAUUCCCUUCAUUCUGA